rnacentral:rRNA from 1 species
UACAGAGACUGCAAGCGUUAUUCGGAUUCACUGGGCGUAAAGGGUGCGCAGGCGGCCGUGUGUGUCAGGUGUGAAAGCCCGGAGCUUAACUCCGGAAUUGCGCCUGAAACUACAUGGCUAGAGCAUUGGAGAGGGUAGCGGAAUUCACGGUGUAGCAGUGAAAUGCGUAGAUAUCGUGAGGAACACCAGAGGCGAAGGCGGCUACCUGGACAAUUGCUGACGCUCAGGCACGAAAGCGUGGGGAGCAAAAAGGG